GACGAACGCUGGCGGCGUGCUUAACACAUGCAAGUCGAGCGGUAAGGCCCUUUCGGGGGUACACGAGCGGCGAACGGGUGAGUAACACGUGGGUGACCUGCCCUCAGCUCUGGGAUAAGCCUGGGAAACUGGGUCUAAUACUGGAUAUGACUCCACGGUGCAUAUCGUGGGGUGGAAAGCCUUGUGCGGCUGAGGAUGGGCCCGCGGCCUAUCAGCUUGUUGGUGGGGUGANGGCCUACCAAGGCGACGACGGGUAGCCGGCCUGAGAGGGCGACCGGCCACACUGGGACUGAGACACGGCCCAGACUCCUACGGGAGGCAGCAGUGGGGAAUCUUGCGCAAUGGGCGAAAGCCUGACGCAGCGACGCCGCGUGAGGGAUGACGGCCU
rnacentral:rRNA from 1 species